CACUAGUUGAGAGUUGUCGCUGGUUUCCUGAUGAGUCCAAGGCAAGACAAAACCAGUA
rnacentral:hammerhead_ribozyme from 1 species